rnacentral:rRNA from 1 species
ACAAGGAGCAAUCUGAGGUGGCGACCGGCGCACGGGUGAGUAACACGUAUGCAACCUGCCUGUAAGCGGGGAAUAACCCGUUGAAAGACGGACUAAUACCGCAUAAUACUAAAUUACUGCAUGGUAAUUUAUUUAAACAUUUAUGGCUUACAGAUGGGCAUGCGCAUGAUUAGCUAGUUGGAGAGGUAACGGCUCCCCAAGGCAACGAUCAUUAGGGGUUCUGAGAGGAAGGUCCCCCACACUGGUACUGAGACACGGACCAGACUCCUACGGGAGGCAGCAGUGAGGAAUAUUGGUCAAUGGACGAGAGUCUGAACCAGCCAAGUCGCGUGCAGGAAGAAUGUCCCUAUGGAUUGUAAACUGCUUUUGCAGGGGAAUAAAGUGCAUCACGUGUGAUGUUUUGUAUGUACUCUGCGAAUAAGGAUCGGCUAACUCCGUGCCAGCCGCGGC